UACGUAGGGGGCUAGCGUUGUCCGGAAUCAUUGGGCGUAAAGCGCGUGUAGGCGGUCCGGUAAGUCCGCUGUGAAAGUCGGGGGCUCAACCCUCGGAUGCCGGUGGAUACUGUCGGGCUUGAGUACGGAAGAGGCGAGUGGAAUUCCUGGUGUAGAGGUGAAAUUCGUAGAUAUUGGGAAGAACACCGGUGGCGAAGGCGGCUAUCUGGCCCGUAAUUGACGCUGAGGCGCGAAAGCGUGGGGAGCAAACAGG
rnacentral:rRNA from 1 species